rnacentral:rRNA from 1 species
UGGGGAAUUUUGGACAAUGGGCGCAAGCCUGAUCCAGCCAUGCCGCGUGCGGGAAGAAGGCCUUCGGGUUGUAAACCGCUUUUGUCAGGGAAGAAAUCUUCUGAGUUAAUACCUCGGGAGGAUGACGGUACCUGAAGAAUAAGCACCGGCUAACUACGUGCCAGCAGCCGCGGUAAUACGUAGGGUGCAAGCGUUAAUCGGAAUUACUGGGCGUAAAGCGUGCGCAGGCGGUUUUGUAAGACGGAGGUGAAAUCCCCGGGCUCAACCUGGGAACUGCCUUUGUGACUGCAAGGCUUGAGUGCGGCAGAGGGGGAUGGAAUUCCGCGUGUAGCAGUGAAAUGCGUAGAUAUGCGGAGGAACACCGAUGGCGAAGGCAAUCCCCUGGGCCUGCACUGACGCUCAUGCACGAAAGCGUGGGGAGCAAACAGGAUUAGAUACCCUGGUAGUCCACGCCCUAAACGAUGUCAACUGGUUGUUGGGAAGGUUCCUUCUCAGUAACGUAGCUAACGCGUGAAGUUGACCGCCUGGGGAGUACGGCCGCAAGGUUGAAACUUAAAGGAAUUGACGGGGUCAUAGCUGUUUCCUG